rnacentral:rRNA from 1 species
UACGUAGGGCGCAAGCGUUAUCCGGAAUUAUUGGGCGUAAAGAGCUCGUAGGCGGUUUGUCGCGUCUGCCGUGAAAGUCCGGGGCUCAACUCCGGAUCUGCGGUGGGUACGGGCAGACUAGAGUGCAGUAGGGGAGACUGGAAUCCCUGGUGUAGCGGUGAAAUGCGCAGAUAUCAGGAGGAACACCGGUGGCGAAGGCGGGUCUCUGGGCCGGUACCGACGCUGAGGAGCGAAAGCGUGGGGAGCGAACAGG